GCCGAGGUAGCUCAGUUGGUAGAGCAGCUGAUUUGUAAUCAGCAGGUCGUGGGUUCGACUCCCUUCCUCGGCU
rnacentral:tRNA from 3 species